UACGGAGGGUGCAAGCGUUAAUCGGAAUUACUGGGCGUAAAGCGUGCGCAGGCGGUUUUGCAAGCCGGAUGUGAAAUCCCCGGGCUUAACCUGGGAAUGGCAUUUGGGACUGCAAGGCUGGAGUGCGGCAGAGGAGACUGGAAUUCCUGGUGUAGCAGUGAAAUGCGUAGAUAUCAGGAGGAACACCGAUGGCGAAGGCAGGUCGCUGGGCUGACACUGACGCUCAUGCACGAAAGCGUGGGGAGCAAACAGG
rnacentral:rRNA from 1 species